CGGCACAGUUACGAUAAAUUGCAAAGAGCUUCUGCUCACUACGCAUAACAAUAAUGCUGUCAAACUAACCCUAAUAACCCCAAUAUUGAUUGCCCUUCCGGCUUCCUCUACAAAAGGAUCAUGAAAAUAAGUACAAUGCCCCUACAUUUUUUUUUACCGUUGAAAUAAAUAUAUACUUUGCUAUAAAAAAAAAAGGACAGGGAACCUGUCCUUUUUUCCGCAGGGAAGUCAUUCAUUGGAGGGGCCUGCGCGUGCGUGGAUGUGCGGUGGCGCGCAACGGGGACAUCGUAAAACCCGCUGUGAGGCUGCGAGGAGACAGGGGAGGGGUGAGAAGAAGAGGAGGAGGAGGGGGUCGAUGGGCCAUUCACUCAUUGUUAGCAACUCAAGGAGCGCUGAAGAUCCCGUCGGCACACGUGAAUUUUCAACCAAAAACACUGAGAUUGGCUCCUGAAGUCCAGGAACAGGGAAUAAGAAGACGGCUUCCCCUCAGGUGAUGGAGGUCUAGAAGCUCCCACAGCAAUGGAUGUCACCCAACUUUACGUCGGCCAUGUUGGAUAUCACCAAUGGACCCAAGCGGUUUCUUUGUGAAGCGAAACGCCCCCCAUAGCAUCUCAGCUAACCACGACGCCAUCUUACACCGAAAAUACCGUCCAAAAAGCACAGUGGAUUAUAUUUGCGGGCGUACCGCCCCCCUGUCUCCCCUCGUCUCCUUCAGUGGUGACUGUGACGACACCAUUGCUCACUCUACCCUCGGCCCAUGGAGUCCUACCCUAACCCCUGCUACCUCUAGCUUCUGUCCCUGGUCCUCUGCUCCCGUAACCCCCUGCUACCUCUACCCUACAUCCCUGGUUCUUUCCCUUUUAUCCCCGCUCCUCCCUAGCCUUAACCCCUAGCUUCCUACCUCCCCUUGCCACCCUUAACUCCCUACUCCCACUAGCCCCAAUCCUUGUUCCUUUCUGCUACUAAACCCCACACUGCUCCUUCUAACCUCCACCCCACUCAGCUCAUCACUUCCUCGCCCCACUCCCUGACUCCCCUGCACCUCUCCAGCCAUGGCCUCGUUCCUGGUCCUCACCGUGGCGUGGAUGCUAGCGGCGUGCGCGGCCGUGCCCAUGGACGCGGAUGCCAGCAGCCACAGCAUGUUCACGUGCGAGCCCAUCACGCUGCGCAUGUGCCAGGGCCUGCCCUACAACUCCACCUUCAUGCCCAACGUGCUGAACCACUACGACCAGCAGACGGCCGCGCUCGCCAUGGAGGUACGCUGUUGUGGCGCCAGAUUGUGUCCUAACUCAAUGCAGUGGUUUUUAUAUGUGUUUGGUUGUAUGGGUUCGCACGCUUUUAGAUGGUUGAAAGAGGGAUGGAAUGGGCGUAGGAAAGGCAGCGCGUGAUCAAACCUUCAGUCACUACAGUCACUUGCCUCUGUAGCCUACUACUUAUCCCAUUGCAUUGCUUUUUUUUUAUCCAAAUUUGAAAACGUUUAUAAUAUAUAGUUAGUAUUAAUUAUUAUGCAACAGACUGUUUAUCUUUAUAAACACAUUUGUAUAUAUUGGUGCUUUUUUAAAUGGUUCCUCUGGGUUAGUGUAUGGGAGAGUCUAUUUCAUAGAACUUCCUGUUCGUGUUGUUGAUAGCAAGAAAUGGUUUCUCUCCGGUUUGGCCAAUAAGACAUCUGUAGGUUUAUCCUCCACGUGGUUGAUGGCUUAUCAAGUACUUCUUUAAUUGUGUAAUGGGGAAGGACAUGUUUGUUUUGUAUCUCUCUCAUUCUUCUUUUUCACUGCGUGGCCUUAUAUGAGAACAUCCUGUCCUAUUGAUUAUCUGAUACUCAAAGAUGGUGAACAACAUAUCUGCUCAAGAACAAAAUCCCUUCACACAUCACACGCACAUUCCCAUAUAUAUGCUAAUGUUUGGACAGAGGUAUUCCAGGGGGUUUAUGAAAUAAUUGCCUCAUAUGAAUAUUUGGUUCGCUGUGUCUGCCUGGUGUACUGCCUGCCCCAAGGACAUCCUGCUGCUAGCCUAGAUAGCUAGCACCCCAGAAAGCUAACUGUUAGCUAUCUGCUCCGUGCCAGUUAAAAUCCAACUGUUCAACUCCUCUCACGUGAGGGACUUGGGGGACAACCAGAAGCAACACAAAGCAUAAGGCAGAAAACGAAAGUUUUACAAUUUGACCUGGGGCAGUACAAGAGAAUGGAGCAUCAAUAACUGCCAUUGUGUAAUCUGAAAACUGGGUGUGUUUCCCCAAAAUGGAUUCCCUGUCCCACACUAGGCGUGUUGACAGACCAGAAUAUUUAUAAUAUCACUCAGAAUAAUCCCGUCAUUUAAUAAAAAAAUUAUAAUACUUUUUACAUAACAGGAUUUGAGACCUGUCGGUCCACUGUGUACAGGAUUCUACAUGCUUACUAUAUCUCUCUCCUAUCUCUCUGCCCUGUCGAAUACUGCACUCUGUAAUCGAGGAGUUCAGCAGAUAGACUAAGCCUUAAUUCCAAUGUUUUCUCCAUGUUUUAUCGUUUUAACCCCCUCUUCUCUGUAGAUUAUCUCUAGAUUAACAACCCAUUAUGUCAUUCCCAACCAGCGCUUUAAUAGCGGCGUGGUAUGGUAGCUUUGGUAAUGCUGAGGUGAGCAAUUCAAACUCAGUCACAAAGCAGAUGCAGCCCUUCCUUAGUUUAAGCAUAUGUGUGCAGGAAGAUUACUGUGGUAUGAGUUUCAGUACACUGGGUCCACUUGCUCGAAAUCACUAUUGGUUUGUUCUAACUGAACAAACUCACGUCUAAUGAUCUAUGAAGUCAUGUAGUGCUGCUGUGGGCACAUAAUAUUGUGCAGUCGUCUGUAUUUUAGCUCCAUAAUGGAUUGGAUUUAAUGAGGUGUUAUUGAGAUACAUGACAUUGCGGUGUCACUGGUAAAUAGGGGCUUGUAAGGUCUGACUGAAGAGCUGUUUCACCAUCCCACCACCCACCUCCAUCUGUGUGCUAAUGGUAUUAAUGUAUCAGUAUACCGCUGGAGAGGGAGAGACUGAGGCCGACUGAAAGUGAGAUCAGGAGUUUUAAUGGAGGAGAGAGAGUAAUAGUGUAACAGCCAGAGAAAGACAAGGAUGGCGAGAGAGAGAGUUAGAGAAAGAUAAUGAGAGCAGCAGAGAGAUUGACUGGAAGUGAGAGAGACUGGGGGAAGAUGGAGGGAGAGAAAAAUAAAGGAGAAAGACAAGAAUAUAGAGAGGGAGAGAUACUGAGCUAAACAGAGCGAGAGAGAGAGAGAGAGAGAGAGAGAGAGAGAGAGAGAGAGAGAGAGAGAGAGAGAGAGAGAGAGAGAGAGAGAGAGAGAGAGAGAAAGAGA